UCUCCGUUGGUGAACCAGCGGAGGGAUCAUUACUGAAUGUACCUCCAAAACCCACUAUGCACCUUACCGCUUUUCGCGUAGUCUCUUCGGUAGGCGGUGGGCCCCGCCCGCCCCUAGGGGGCCCUGCCGCCCCCGCCCCCCCCGGCGGCGCCAAACUCUAAAGUUAUAGCGGAUCUUACGUUCGGAUUUACAAAAAAAACAAUUAAAAACUUUCAACAACGGACCCUUUGUUUCUGGCAUCGAUGAAAAAGGCAGCAGAUCGGAAGAGCAACGGAC
rnacentral:misc_RNA from 1 species